rnacentral:rRNA from 1 species
GCGAUUGGAGCGGCCGAUAUCAGAUUAGGUAGUUGGUGAGGUAAAGGCUCACCAAGCCGACGAUCUGUAGCUGGUCUGAGAGGACGACCCAAGCCACACUGGGACUGAGACACGGCCCAGACUCCUACGGGAGGCAGCAGUGGGGAAUUUUGGACAAUGGGCGCAAGCCUGAUCCAGCAAUGCCGCGUGCAGGAUGAAGGCCUUCGGGUUGUAAACUGCUUUUGUACGGAACGAAACGGUGAGCUCUAAUACAGUUUGCUAAUGACGGUACCGUAAGAAUAAGCACCGGCUAACUACGUG